CUACGGGGGGCUGCAGUGGGGAAUAUUGCACAAUGGGCGCAAGCCUGAUGCAGCCAUGCCGCGUGUAUGAAGAAGGCCUUCGGGUUGUAAAGUACUUUCAGCGGGGAGGAAGGGAGUAAAGUUAAUACCUUUGCUCAUUGACGUUACCCGCAGAAGAAGCACCGGCUAACUCCGUGCCAGCAGCCGCGGUAAUACGGAGGGUGCAAGCGUUAAUCGGAAUUACUGGGCGUAAAGCGCACGCAGGCGGUUUGUUAAGUCAGAUGUGAAAUCCCCGGGCUCAACCUGGGAACUGCACCUGAUACUGGCAAGCUAGAGUCUCGUAGAGGGGGGUAGAAUUCCAGGUGUAGCGGUGAAAUGCGUAGAGAUCUGGAGGAAUACCGGUGGCGAAGGCGGCCCCCUGGACGAAGACUGACGCUCAGGUGCGAAAGCGUGGGGAGCAAACAGGAUUAGAUACCCGGGUAGUC
rnacentral:rRNA from 1 species